rfam:Schistosoma curassoni strain Dakar, Senegal genome assembly, scaffold: SCTD_scaffold0000479
AUCCAACUGACGAGUCUCAAAUAUGACGAAGUUUUGCACCUCCUGGAU